AAUCAACGCUGGCGGCGUGCCUCAGACAUGCAAGUCGAACGAUUAAGACUUCCUUCGGGAAGUGUAUAAAGUGGCGCACGGGUGAGUAACACGUAAGUAAUCUACCUUCGAGUGGGGAAUAACGUCCGGAAACGGACGCUAAUACCGCAUAAUGCAGCGGCACCUAAUGGUGACAGUUGUUAAAGGAGCAAUUCGCUUGAAGAGGAGCUUGCGGCAGAUUAGCUAGUUGGUAAGGUAACGGCUUACCAAGGCUACGAUCUGUAACCGGCCUAAGAGGACGGUCGAUCACACUGACACUGAAUAACGGGUCAGACUCCUACGGGAGGCAGCAGUCGGGAAUUUUGGGCAAUGGGCGAAAGCCUGACCCAGCAACGCCGCGUGAAGGAUGAAGUAUUUCGGUAUGUAAACUUCGAAAGAAUGGGAAGAAUAAAUGACGGUACCAUUUAUAAGGUCCGGCUAACUACGUGCCAGCAGCCGCAGUAAAAC
rnacentral:rRNA from 1 species